GGGGCGCGCGCGGGGCGGCGGCGACCGCGCGACCGCCGCGCGUCCAACGGUCACUUCCCCUCGCGACACCCCCCAACACUCCUCCCGAUCCCCGCCCGGAGGGGCCGCAACGCCCUCCCCUCACCCUGAGCGCGACCGAGCCCGCGGGGGGGGGAGGGCACACGCUGCGCUCGCGCUCUCUCUCGCUGUGUUAAGGAAUGGCCGCCUCCGCCGCGCUCCGGCCGCGCUGCUCCUGCUACACCGCGGCAGGCAGGGAGAGAGAGAGAGGGAGGAGGGAGGGAAAGAGGCAGCAGCGGCGCGCACGCCGGCGCGGGGAGGCGAGGCGGCGCGGGGAGGCGGGGAGGCGAGGCGGCGCGGGGGCGCGCGGGGACCUUGCCGCCACGCGGGUGCCCGCGGAGAGCGCCUGGGCGGCUCCCCGAGCGGAGGAGGCGCGCCCGGAGGGGUCCUUCAGGCGCGCGGGGGGCGCCCCCGCGCCACACACAAUAGGCGGGUUCUUCUCAGAUUGCGUCGCGCCUCCCCCGCCGCCUUUUCCAGCAAUAAAUGUGGCUGCAAAACAUAUUUUCCGCCCUUCCAUGCCCUAGGGCAUGUCACUAAACUCAUACGGCUGUAAUUGGCCCGUAAUAACCGCGGUUCAGUCACUGGGAACGGUUGCCUCAUUUGCCUUUUGUUCAGGGAUUUGCGUUUCCAAAUGACUGUCCCUACAAUCCCUACAAAACAUGUUUGGUUUUAGUUCUACACGUUUCAAUGGCACAAAGCACUUGAGCUGAUUUUUCCUUUGAUCUUGUUCAACCAUGGAUCCACACAACUGAUGACAUUGACAUGAGAAAAAUCCCAAUUUCUUGAACAAAUGGGCCAACCUGGUGGUUCUGUAUCACCAAAAGAGAGAUGUCUCAUGGCCCUUCCUCAUCAAAUCCUUGCCUUUGUUUCCACCCUCAUUCUUUCUUCCCAGGAUUUACUUCAAAUUGAUAAUCCAAGAGUUACUUCAAGUUGAUAAUCCAGCAAUAAACUGGUAGUGGUUAA